CCCCGACCUGGCUUCUUGUUACUCAGGUCUAUCUCCGGCCCAGAUCCUGCUCAGUUCUGCCAAGGCCCAGCGUAGGAUUGGUCAGUUCUGAUAGAAUGUUCUACAUAGUAGCAGGCUGAAGUGUUCCUGAUGAUAAUUCCAUCUCUUGAUUCCGUUUCCAUCCCCUGGGGCAAUACUGAAGACUCCCAUCUUCUGCAUGAGGCUCCUUCAGGGUUUUGAAGACAACUAACGUGUCCCCUUCAGACUUCCCUCAAAGCUGACAGCUCCAGUUCUGGCAACACUUGCUCCGAGUUUCGCUUUCCAGACCUUCAGCAUUCUAGACAUUUUCUGGCAUGACCAAUGUACUCUGGAGAAGUCUUUUAGAAGACUGACCAACUGUCCCAGAUUGGAGAAGACUAAGGAGAUACGACAGGUUAAUCUCUGGAAUCCCCACGUGCCCAAAUCAAUUUGUUUCUGGGACUACCAUAACAAAGCACCACAAACUUGGUGGCUUCAAACAAUAAAAAGGUAUCCUCUCACAGUU